UAGUAAAGGGCCCAAACACAAGGGGAAAAACCCCGCUCCUCUUGUCACCAAGCUACCCCCCGCGGACGCCGCCAUGGCCUCCUCCAGCCGCCGACUUCUCUCUCCAGUGAUCCAUUCCAUCCUAUUUACAACGAAUUCAGCCUCCAAAUCUUAUUCGGGACCGACCUACUAAAGCCAAUCUGCAGAAAAUUCAAAUAGCCCUACUAAUUGAAGUCCCAAACACGAAUUUUCCGACCUCCUCCGUAGCCCUCUUAGGUGUCUAACGAUCAUGGACUCGCUAGCUGAAGAAUCCUUCGGCGAGAUCCUUGAGAACUGGGGCGGCUUCGUCGCCUGCACCGAAACCCUGCUCAAGGGCAAAGGCGACCCCUCCGUCGGGUCCCAGCUGGUCCCUUUGGUCGCCACUCUCUGUGUCCAUGGCCUCGGUUCCCUCGCUCAGGACCACUUCCUUCAGUCUCUCGCGGAGACAUUUAAGACAAAUGUGGUUUCAAAGUUUUGGCAGCAAUUUCAUGCUUAUCGUGAUGGUCCAAGACUGAAUGUCCAUGAAGAUUGGCGUGAGGAAGUAUUGAAUAAAUCUGUAGAAGAAAUGUGGACGGACCAUGAAGAUUGGCAUGAGGAAGUAUUGAAUAAAUCACUGGAUGAAAUAUGCACAGAAAGAAGUUACAUGGAAAAGUGUGUUUUGGUUCUUGUUCAUGCUUUGCAGUCUUACGAUGAAGGCAUAACCAAGGGAAAUAUUGAGUUCCAGCAUCUUCAUUCCCACCUUAUUUCUAGGUUCCAGUUGAUGGUUUCUUCAGUACUUCUAACAACCCUUCCUCUGCAUUUUCCAGAGGUACUUCGCUUGUAUUUUAGAAAGAAACUGGAAGAGCUAAGUACUAUAAUAGCUGGGGAAUAUGAGGAUGGAUGUGAAUCCCAGAUUGAUGACCAUUAUUUUAACCAGCAAACCAAGAGGUCACAUCUGGGUGAUAUGGAUACUAUUGGAACUUAUUCUGCGAUAGCCAUCUCAAAUGACAACAGUUUGGUUAAAAGUAUAGGGAAAGUGGUUCGUGAACUUAGGAGCCUUGGGUUUACCUCCCUGACUGAAGAUGCAUAUGCUUCUGCUAUUUUUUUGCUUUUGAAGAACAAAGUUCAUAGUUUAGCAGGCGAUGAAUAUAGGAGUCCUGUUCUGCAAUCUAUCAAGGACUGGAUACAGGCUGUUCCUCUCCAGUUUCUAAACGCACUUUUGGUAUAUUUGGGGGAGUCAAUUGACUAUGAUUCCUCUGCAUCUGGUCUUAAAUCGCCUUUGGCUUCAUGUCCUUUUUCUUAUCCGGGAAUCGACACUCCUUCUGAAGGGCUUGUUAGAUGGCAGUUGCGGCUUGAGUAUUUUGCUUAUGAAACAUUGCAGGACUUAAGAAUAGGAAAGCUUUUUGAAAUUAUUGUGGAUUAUCCUGACAGCUCUCCUGCAAUUGAAGAUUUAAAGAAAUGUUUAGAGCAUACAGGGCAGCAUUCAAAGCUUGUUGAAUCUUUUGUCUCUUCAUUACGAUAUCGCUUGCUUACAGCUGGGGCCUCAACCAAUGAUAUAUUGCACCAGUAUGUUUCCACUAUCAAGGCUCUACGAACAAUAGACCCAGCUGGUGUAUUUUUAGAAGCAGUAGGUGAACAUAUUAGGGAUUAUUUGAGAGGAAGAAAGGAUACAAUAAAAUGCAUUGUGACAAUGCUAACUGACGGGACUGGAGGAAAUUCCAGCGGAGCGGGAAAUAGUGGUGAGAGUCUUCUUGAAGAAUUAACUAGAGAUGCAGAAAACCAAGAAAAUGCUGACUGUGAUGAAGAUAUCAAUUCUGACGAGAAGCAAGCAUGGUUAAGUGCUGAACGUUGGGAACCUGAUCCAGUGGAGGUAGACCCAUCAAAAUGUGGCAGAAGCAGAAGGAAGAUUGAUAUACUGGCAAUGAUGGUCAGCAUAAUUGGAUCGAAAGAUCAACUUGUUAAUGAAUACAGGGUUAUGCUGGCAGAAAAGCUUCUCAAUAAGUCUGAUUAUGAUAUUGACUCAGAAAUAAGAACCUUAGAGCUUCUUAAGAUACAUUUUGGAGAGAGCAGUAUGCAAAGAUGUGAAAUUAUGACUAAUGAUCUCAUUCACUCCAAGAGAACAAAUGCUAGUAUCAAAGCAAGCAUACCACAACCAUCUCUAGAGGGUGCUGAUCAAGGCAAAACAAAUCUGCCCCUCAACAUUCUUGAUGUUACUAUAAUAUCUUCAAACUUUUGGCCACCCAUACAGGAGGAGACCGUUAACGUCCCCUCUUCUGUUGACCAACUGCUUUCUGAUUAUUCCAAGAGGUUUCAUGAGAUAAAAACUCCACGCAAGCUUUUAUGGAAGAAAAAUCUUGGAACUGUUAAGCUUGAACUGCAAUUUGAAGACCGUACAAUACAGUUUACAGUCACUCCAGUGCAUGCAACAAUUAUCAUGCAGUUUCAGGAGCAAACUAGUUGGACUUCUACGAACCUUGCAGCAGCUAUUGGAAUACCUGUGGAUCUGCUAAACAGGAGAAUUAACUUUUGGGUUUGCAAAGGAAUCCUUGCUGAGUCAGUUGGAAAAGAUAGUAAUGAUCAUGUCUUCACCCUUGUUGAAGACAUGAUGGAUCCUAAUAGAAAUGGCUUAACAAGCAGUGGCUAUGAAGGACUUAUAACUGCUGAUGAGGAACGAGAGAGAUCUGUGGCGUCUGUGGAGGAACAGUUACGGAAAGAAAUGACUAUAUAUGAGAAAUUCAUUGAAGGGAUGCUUACAAAUUUUGGUAGUUUGUCACUGGAUAGGAUACAUAAUUCGUUGAAGAUGUUCUGCUUAGCUGAGCCACCUUAUGAUAAGUCACUCCAACAAUUACAAAGCUUUCUCUCAAGUCUGGUAUCAGAAGAAAAGCUAGAAAUGAGGGAUGGCAUGUAUUUCUUGAAGAAGUAGAUAUGGAAACCAGCCAAUGCAUAAAUGGGGCAAACAUCAUUACCACUGGGGGAAGUUCGUUAUCGUGUGGGAAAAAUCUUCAAUUACUUACUCCGUCAACCUUGACGCUCGCCUCCGCCGACUUCGACGCUCGCCUCCGCUCCUCUUCGGACUCCGCAGACCUCAACACUAAUGACUUUGACCAUUCGACGUUGCUCUCUCAUCGACAUUAACUUCAUCGACUUGACGACUUGACUGAUGCUAUGCUCUCUUCAUCGACGCCAUCAUCAACUGAUCUGGUUGACUCGAUGACGUUGACCGACACUGAGCUCUCCAUCGUUGCCGAGCUCUCUCCAUCGAUGUCAUCAUCAACUAUGACUUAGACAGUUCGACUUGGACUCUCCAUCGACGCCACGCCCUCAACACAACUUCUGAAGUUGUAGCAACAAAUAAAAUUCACUAUUCAGUUAGUUUUUUCUCUAGUUAUUUAGUAAAGGUUGAGAGAAUGAAAGAGGGGAGUAUGGUUAGAUUACAAUUUGGGGUAUUAUGUUAUAAAUACACAUCAUACGGUAUAUCACUCCAAUAAAUACUAUUUAUCCUCGAUAUAUCCUCGAUUUUCACUAUCCGAUAAGGAUUUUGACCGUCCAAUAAAUCCCCAAUAUCGAUAUUUAAACCUUGACAAGUAUAUACAAUUUCGAUAAUGAGUCGCCAAAUCAGGAUGUGGUAUAACAAACUCAAUUAUCAAAUGUAUC